rnacentral:lncRNA from 1 species
AUGAGACUUCUUAGGCACAUGAAUUUCACAAGUCACUUCCUUCCUCAUAUGCCUGCCAGGCCAGCGAGGCCUACAAAUCUGUGCUAUGAAGUGGUGACUGAACCACCAGGAUACAGGUGUAAACAGCCAUCACUGGGAGCUACGUCAGGGCUGAAAGUUCUCAGUAGGCAGGCACAUCAUCCCCGAAGUGCAAGGUCGCUAAGCAGAAGUUCAGAGAUCGAUGUGGAGGUGGUAGAAGUGAGCAGAUGGACUGCUGCGGUCUGGGGGAAUCUGGAUGUAAACUCUUCAGGCGUUGGAGUAUUCCUGCGAGCAAGCAAUAAGAGGAAAUCAGAAUACACACCUGGCCCAUUUAAGCCACAGACCAUUACUUCCAGAACGCUAUAUAUCAUCACAUAGAGUAGAGAAGAAAAGCUGUAGACUGGCCUGCCUCAACACUGUUAUGUAUUCAUUGUUGCAAUUAUGCUACAGCUUUGGCUCUGGGGUAAAGGUACAUUUUUUUUUUUUUAACUCACUCUAACCCUUCCUGCUCGGUUCCAGAAAACUAGGGAGCUAGUUCAUUCAUUUGAUAAAUAUGUACAGAAGAGCAUGUAGGAUGGGUCAGACAUUGAGUGGAUUAAGGAGAUGCCUAAGAUGCAGACAGGUGAUCCCUAUGUCCAAGGACUUGAUAGUCUAGUAGGAAAGGGCAGCUGUCUGACAAUAAUGAGGGCCGUGAAGUACCUCAGUAGGCUAUGAUCCAUGGACAGAGAGGGAGACCGAGGAGGGCGCCCUGGUCUCUAGAUUGGCUGCUGAGGGCGGCUGCAGAAGGGCUCAGAGCUGAGAGCUGGACUCAAGGUUCCCAGAGGAGUAAGUCCACAUGGCCUUGGGGCCUGCAGUGCUGGGGGCAGUAGAUACAAGGCAGGACCUCAUCUAUCAUUAGGCCAGUGCAGCUGGAAGCUUCUUGAGGAGCAAAGAAAUUUUCACAUGAGGUUUGGGCUUAACGCAUUUGGGUUUGAGCGCUGGCCUGUCACUAAUCUGUGACCGAGGGAAGUGAAUCAAGCUGAGGAUCAGUUUUCUCUCCUAUCACAAUGAAUUAAAAAGAAAUGUCUCACCUCUUUCACAGAGCAGUGAAAAGGAUCAAGUUCAACGACAUUCCUGUGUUUUUCAAACUAGUAUCAUAGACUCAUGGGAUCACUGUGGACUAGUAUUUUUACUCCAUGGUGAGUAAUCUAUAACACUUUGAAAUAGAAAAUGAGUAGGCUUAACAACAUU